rnacentral:rRNA from 1 species
UACGUAGGGCGCAAGCGUUGUCCGGAAUUAUUGGGCGUAAAGAGCUCGUAGGCGGCCUGUUACGUCUGCUGUGAAAUCCCGGGGCUUAACCCCGGGCGUGCAGUGGAUACGGGCAGGCUGGAGGCAGGCAGGGGAGAGCGGAACUCCUGGUGUAGCGGUGGAAUGCGCAGAUAUCAGGAGGAACACCGAUGGCGAAGGCAGGUCACUGGGCCGCAACUGACGCUGAGGAGCGAAAGCAUGGGGAGCGAACAGG